GCCCCGCUAGCUUAAUUGGCGAAGCAGACCCCUCUUAAGGGUAAGAUUACUGGUUCGAGUCCAGUGCGGGGCA
rnacentral:tRNA from 1 species